AGUAACCUGCCCUUGACUUCGGGAUAACUCCGGGAAACGGGGUCUAAUACCGGAUAUGAGCACUCAUCGCAUGGUGGGUGUUGGAAAGUUUUUCGGUGGGGGAUGGGCUCGCGGCCUAUCAGCUUGUUGGUGGGGUGAUGGCCUACCAAGGCGUCGACGGGUAGCCGGCCUGAGAGGGCGACCGGCCACACUGGGACUGAGACACGGCCCAGACUCCUACGGGAGGCAGCAGUGGGGAAUAUUGCACAAUGGGCGCAAGCCUGAUGCAGCGACGCCGCGUGAGGGAUGACGGCCUUCGGGUUGUAAACCUCUUUCAGCAGGGAAGAAGCGCAAGUGACGGUACCUGCAGAAGAAGCGCCGGCUAACUACGUGCCAGCAGCCGCGGUAAUACGUAGGGSGCAAGCGUUGUCCGGAAUUAUUGGGCGUAAAGAGCUCGUAGGCGGUCUGUCGCGUCUGGUGUGAAAUCCCGAGGCUCAACCUCGGGCUUGCAUCGGGUACGGGCAGACUAGAGUGCGGUAGGGGAGACUGGAAUUCCUGGUGUAGCGGUGGAAUGCGCAGAUAUCAGGAGGAACACCGAUGGCGAAGGCAGGUCUCUGGGCCGCAACUGACGCUGAGGAGCGAAAGCAUGGGGAGCG
rnacentral:rRNA from 1 species